GACGAACGCUGGCGGCGUGCCUAAUACAUGCAAGUCGAACGCAGAAGGAGGAGUUUGCCUCUCUGGAUGAGUUGCGAACGGGUGAGAAACCCGUAGGUAACCUGCCUGGUAGCGGGGGAUAACUAUUGGAAACGAUAGCUAAUACCGCAUAACAGUAGGUGUUGCAUGUGAUUUGCUUAACAGGUGCAAUUGCCGCAAUACCAGAUGGACCUGCGUUGUAUUAGCGAGUUGGGGGGGUAAAGGCUCACCAAGGCGACGAGACAUAGCCGACCUGAGAGGGGGAUCGGCCACACUGGGACUGAGACACGGCCCAGACUCCUACGGGAGGCAGCAGUAGGGAAUCUUCGGCAAUGGACGGAAGUCUGACCGAGCAACGCCGCGUGAGUGAAGAAGGUUUUCGGAUCGUAAAGCUCUGUUGUAAGAGAAGAACGAGUGUGAGAGUGGAAAGUUCACACUGUGACGGUAGCUUACCAGAAAGGGACGGCUAACUACGUG
rnacentral:rRNA from 1 species